rnacentral:rRNA from 1 species
AUGCACGCUGGCGGCGUGCCUCAUCCCUGCCAGUCGAGCGAACAGACGAGGAGCUUGCUCCUCUGACGUUAGCGGCGGACGGGUGAGUAACACGUGGAUAACCUACCUAUAAGACUGGGAUAACUUCGGGAAACCGGAGCUAAUACCGGAUAAUAUAUUGAACCGCAUGGUUCAAUAGUGAAAGACGGUUUUGCUGUCACUUAUAGAUGGGUCCGCGCCGCAUUAGCUAGUUGGUAAGGUAACGGCUUACCAAGGCAACGAUGCGUAGCCGACCUGAGAGGGUGAUCGGCCACACUGGAACUGAGACACGGUCCAGACUCCUACGGGAGGCAGCAGUAGGGAAUCUUCCGCAAUGGGCGAAAGCCUGACGGAGCAACGCCGCGUGAGUGAUGAAGGUCUUCGGAUCGUAAAACUCUGUUAUUAGGGAAGAACAAAUGUGUAAGUAACUAUGCACGUCUUGACGGUACCUAAUCAGAAAGCCACGGCUAACUACGUG